rnacentral:rRNA from 1 species
GCUUACGGCCAUACCAGCCUGGGUACGCCUGAUCUCGUCUGAUCUCGGAAGCUAAGCAGGGUCGGGCCUGGUUAGUACUUGGAUGGGAGACCACCUGGGAAUACCAGGUGCUGUAAGCA